AACGAACGCUGGCGGCAUGCCUAACACAUGCAAGUCGAACGAGACCUUCGGGUCUAGUGGCGCACGGGUGCGUAACGCGUGGGAACCUGCCCUUAGGUUCGGAAUAACUCCCCGAAAGGGGUGCUAAUACCGGAUAAUGUCUUCGGACCAAAGAUUUAUCGCCUUUGGAUGGGCCCGCGUUGGAUUAGCUAGUUGGUAGGGUAAAAGCCUACCAAGGCGACGAUCCAUAGCUGGUCUGAGAGGAUGAUCAGCCACACUGGGACUGAGACACGGCCCAGACUCCUGCGGGAGGGAGCAGUGGGGAAUAUUGGACAAUGGGCGAAAGCCUGAUCCAGCAAUGCCGCGUGAGUGAUGAAGGCCUUAGGGUUGUAAAGCUCUUUUACCCGGGAUGAUAAUGACAGUACCGGGAGAAUAAGCUCCGGCUAACUCCGUG
rnacentral:rRNA from 1 species